rnacentral:rRNA from 1 species
GACGAACCGUGCGAACGUUGUUCGGAAUCACUGGGCUUAAAGGGCGCGUAGGCGGGCUGUCAAGUCCGGGGUGAAAUCUUUCGGCUUAACCGGAAAAGUGCCUUGGAUACUGGCAGUCUUGAGGGAGGUAGGGGCAGGUGGAACUUCCGGUGGAGCGGUGAAAUGCGUUGAUAUCGGAAGGAACGCCGGUGGCGAAAGCGGCCUGCUGGAUCUCUUCUGACGCUGAGGCGCGAAAGCUAGGGGAGCGAACGGGAUUAGAAACCCUUGUAGUCC